rnacentral:miRNA from 1 species
UGUCCAGUAGCACCUUAGAGACCAACUAAGUUUGUUCUGGAUAUAAGCUUUCGUGUGCAUGCACACUUCUUCAGAUACACUUCAGUGCAUGCACACGAAAGCUUAUACCCAGAACAAACUUAGUUUGUCUCUAAGGUGCUACUGGACA